rnacentral:rRNA from 1 species
UACAGAGGGGGCAAGCGUUGUUCGGAAUUACUGGGCGUAAAGGGCGCGUAGGCGGCCUUGUGAGUCGAGUGUGAAAGCCCUGGGCUUAACCCGGGAAGCGCGCUUGAUACUGCAGGGCUUGAGUGUGGGAGAGGAUGAUGGAAUUCCCAGUGUAGAGGUGAAAUUCGUAGAUAUUAGGAAGAACACCGGUGGCGAAGGCGGCCCACUGGAUCGGUACUGACGCUGAGGUGCGAAAGCGUGGGGAGCAAACAGGAUUAGAAACCCUA